CACGGGCACUGAGACACGAGCGGGGAAUAGCCCAGAGAAAUUUGGAUUAAUACCCCAUAGUAUAUUUAGAUGGCAUCAUUUGAAUAUUAAAGAUUUAUCACUCGAAGAUGGCUGUGCGUAUGAUUAGGUAGUUGGCGGGGUAACGGCCCACCAAGCCUACGAUCAUUAACUGGUGUGAGAGCACGACCAGUCACACGGGCACUGAGACACGGGCCCGACUCCUACGGGAGGCAGCAGUAAGGAAUAUUGGUCAAUGGACGCAAGUCUGAACCAGCCAUGCCGCGUGGAGGAUGAAGGUCCUCUGGAUUGUAAACUUCUUUUAUCUGGGACGAAAAAAGGGAAUUCUUUCUCGUCUGACGGUACCAGAUGAAUAAGCACCGGCUAACUCCGUGCCAGCAGCCGCGGUAAUACGGAGGGUGCAAGCGUUAUCCGGAUUCACUGGGUUUAAAGGGUGCGUAGGCGGGUAUGUAAGUCCGUGGUGAAAUCUCCGAGCUUAACUCGGAAACUGCCGUGGGUACUGCGUAUCUUGAAUGUUGUGGAGGUGAGCGGAAUAUGUCAUGUAGCGGUGAAAUGCUUAGAUAUGACAUAGAACACCAAUUGCGAAGGCAGCUCACUACACAGAAAUUGACGCUGAGGCACGAAAGCGUGGGGAUCAAACAGGAUUAGAUACCCUGGUAGUCCAUGCCGUAAACGGUGGGCGCUAGGUGUGGGUUUCCUUCCACGGGAUCCGUGCCGUAGCUAACGCAUUAAGCGCCCCGCCUGGGGAGUACGGCCGCAAGGCUAAAACUCAAAGGAAUUGACGGGGGCCCGCACAAGCGGCGGAGCAUGCGGAUUAAUUCGAUGCAACGCGAAGAACCUUACCUGGGCUUGACAUACACCGGAUCGCUGCAGAGAUGUAGCUUCCCUUUGUGGCUGGUGUACAGGUGGUGCAUGGUUGUCGUCAGCUCGUGUCGUGAGAUGUUGGGUUAAGUCCCGCAACGAGCGCAACCCUUGUCUUAUGUUGCCAGCACGUUAUGGUGGGGACUCAGUGGAGACCGCCGGGGUCAACUCGGAGGAAGGUGGGGAUGACGUCAAAUCAUCAUGCCCCUUAUGUCUUGGGCUUCACGCAUGCUACAAUGGCCGGUACAAAGGGCUGCGAUGCCGUAAGGUGGAGCGAAUCCCAAAAAACCGGUCUCAGUUCGGAUUGGGGUCUGCAACUCGACCCCAUGAAGUCGGAGUCGCUAGUAAUCGCAGAUCAGCAACGCUGCGGUGAAUACGUUCCCGGGCCUUGUACACACCGCCCGUCACACCAUGGGAGUUGGUUUUACCCGAAGGCGCUGCGCCAACCCGCAAGGGAAGCAGGCGACCACGGUAGGGUCAGCGACUGGGGUGAAGUCGUAACAAGGUAGCCGUAGGGGAACCUGCGGCUG
rnacentral:rRNA from 1 species